GGGUAAUGUUAUUAUCAACACGAUAUGGAAGAUGUCCUGGCAGGAGGAAGUAAAUGGUUGGAUCAAGGAGGUGGCAUUUGAUGGGAUGGGGUGGAUUUAAGGGCGUGAUUGUUACCUUUCAAUGAAAAUAAGAUUUCAUUGGAUAUGACAAUUGGAUGAUGAAAUUGAUUGUUGAUUGAAAAAGGAUAUAAAGUGAGGGAAAGCAUUUAGAUUCUAAUGAAGUUUUAGUUGGCCGAUAUAUGGAGUGAGCUACAGGAUUUGAAAUAUGGACAAGUUAUUUUUUGAAUCUUCCCCUUUGUCUGGUGUUCAACAAUAUUCAGUUAUCCUUGUAUUUACCUUAAAUGCAUUGUUGAUGUAUCUUCAAAUAUAUGUGUACUUAGCAAAGGGAAUCUCUCUCUCUCUCUC
rnacentral:misc_RNA from 1 species